CCUAGCUAUUCUAUCCUAUCAGCCAUAUACACUCUCUGCGGAUGUUUGUGCGUGUAAGGUCGAGUACUUCCCUUUUGUACCUAGUUCGUUGUUUUCAUUGGUGCCUUCCUGCCGAACGUUACCUUAAUUGCCUCGUGGAUACGAUUAUAACCCGUGCAUCGCUUAUUGCGAACCCGUUAGUCAUUUCGUCUAAGAGGCCAUCGGUCAGCCCUGCAUUAGGAGAGGAAUAGAGUUUAAACGGGCAAAAUUGUUCUUAUUUUUACUCGGCUGUUCACUUUCAAUGAGUCCUGCGUAUCAUGUUUUCCAUUGUUUGCGCUGAUCGACGGCAGCAAGCAGCUUGCAGUAGCUAAGCAGGCCAGUCCGACCUCUUCGUUGCCGCCUGCUGCUACUGUCGUUUCAUAGAGCAACACCAAAAUCAGCAAUAAUUCCCCGGCGGCGCUCAUUGGGCCCUUCGACGGGGCGCUGGCUUUGUUCGGCUGUGCAGCGAUUCGUCGAGUAACGUACUCGCGAUGGGUCACCCGCUGGUACACAACUUUUGGCCCACAAAUAGUCGUUUUGUUUACCGGUAUCGCUAGACAAAGCGGCAAUUGCAAAUUCACCGUUUUCCGUGUGUAUGGACGAUUUGCUUUCUAAAGGGAUUAAACGCUGACUGUAGACGGUAUUAUUUUUGAGUGCAUCCGAACGCCUGGCCACGAUCGACCCAAGUUGCCGCGCCGGUCAUCAUCACGAUCGUCACCGAUCCCAAUACUGCUGCUGCUGCUGUUGUUAUCGCCGGCAUUGCUGCUGAAACCACACGUAGGAGCUCUCAAUACACAACAUGCAGCAAUAGAGGAUGGCAACGGCUCAUCGACAAGAUCCGUUCGCGCCUACGUUUCAACUGUGCGUGAGUCGACAUCGACAAGUGUCUUCAUGGCCGACGGUUACUGCGACAAUGAUACGUGUAACUCAGGGAUAGGCAGGUACAGAGUGGGGAUAAACAACGACCGGGUUCACUGCGACGCGGAACCUAUGAUGACGCCGCCGUGCGGAGACAGCAACAAUGUCCGCCACAACUAGCAAAUAACUAGCAACCAGCUAGUGUGGGACUCAACGGAAAACACGAAGGAGCAGAAGUUCGCACUGGCUACUUCCGUUGUGCGGCUCAGGUCGUAUCUUGCAGAGCGUACGCUUCAGAAGUUUCCUUAAGCGUGUGCGACGGCAGCACGUUCAACUUCGCAGUUUCGUGUGCAGAUAUAAUAAUUGCUGUAGAAUAGGAGAAUUCGACGAUUGGCAAACCGUUCAAGGAAAUCAUACGUAAGGAAUACGCAAACACUAAAAGUAAGCGGAAUAAUGUUGUGACAAUAUGGCAUAGAUAUCAAGUUUGUUUUAAUCAAAUGUUCAAAUAGAGGUGCAAGAUGUAAUGAGAAGAACCUUCCACUGUAACUCUAACUAUUUCUGUAAUUAUCAACUUGAGUGCUGUCGCAUUUCAUUGCAUGCUUCCAGUAACCUUUCGAUUUUCCUAAACAGGAAAAACAGGAUAGUCCUGUUGUCUAUAGAAACACCGGCAAAAUUUAGACACUAAUACGGAUCGCCUGGAUGUCCUGACUGCGUGCGACCGUCUUAGUGUUUAGCUAUGCUAAAAUGUCCACAAAAAAUCUAAUAAACAUGAGCCGAAACAUUUACGUAACAAUAUUAUUCAGAGCCUGGGGUUCCAAUACUCGCUAACUGCUAGAAAUACUUGAUAAUUAAGGUGUCUUAAUUUCGGUAGCUAUAUGAACUUCUAUAACUAACUUCACUGAAUACAUGAGAUGCAGAACACCUAAACGCUUCAAGCAAUUCACCCCAAAGCCGCUUUACAUCUAACAUGGGUGGGGCAAUUACGGUUUGGAGGUCAAUAAACACCUUAUAAUAUACUUACUAACUGGAGAACGCAAUGGGUCGUACAAAGAUGUCAAAUAAUUCAAAAUGACAGCGAUCUAACGUAUCAUUUGCUUUUACAGUGUACAUAUAGUGAGUGUACAGCUUGAAAAAUUCGCCAACAACAUUUCUACAAGUCUAGCCUUUUCAGUUCAUUUUUGAAUGUUCAGCGUGUAUAAGUUUUAUCAGGAACUGAAGAUGCCGGAUGCUUUUCAGGACGCCACGUAUCUGUUUUAACUUAGAGCCUAAAAUCUUAUACAGGAAUAGUCCGCACUAUUCAUUGUCUGCCACCCAUCAAAGAUAACUUAUAAUAUAGAGUUUCCUUUUUAUCUGGCCUCUCUUCUGUACUGUCGCAUGCGUACGUUCGUUCUGUUAACACUUGGAGAAGCUGAUUAUUUAGCGCUACGAAAAGUCGAAUGUAAGAGUUCUUUUUCUAUAGAGAAGUUCUAACGAGUACGUUCAUUACAGGCAAUCAAGGUGCAAGUCCACGGUAAGAUGAAGAAAUUUUCUACCGAGUACCUCAAACGGCUUCCUAAUACCUUAGUUCGAGAGUACAAACGCAAUUACAAAAAUGUUCCGGUAGCGCUCUUUUUUUUGCAGUAAACCAUAAUUAUUAGUUUCCAUUUUUCUGCCAUCGGCUAACAGAAAAUUUGUAAUCCCACGUUGUCUUUAUCCGAUACUUUCUUCAUAAUAGACUGGGGACCGUAGCAACCGUGAGUUAACCCACGGCCUUGUGGUCGUUAUGCGCAAUGUACCCAGCUGUGCACCACGAAAAAAUGCUAACAAGGGUUCCAGUUUUCGUUGUUAGCGUUGGCUGAGAAGGCCCUUCUCAAGGUGAGUGCAUGAGGACAGGACAGAGGACGGGUCGUGUUACUCGCUAGCCUAGCCUGUUGGGUUGCUUUGCGUCUACCGGAUGGUAAUUGUCAUUGUGAUGCUGAGUAGAGAUUCAAUGGCGGCUGUUGCAGCCGACAAGAGUCGUUGUGCUGUGUGCUAUGGUUCUGUGUGUACAAGGGGCAGACCCGAACGGCAGAGCCACUCCAGUCGUCGUGCAAUUGCUCCCAAGUGCACGCACAACAGCAGCAGAAACAUUCGUUAAGCCUGUGCAGUAUGUGACGCGAUCCAGCCUUAACAUCCAAGCAUUGCCUGCUAGCUUCGCCAGAUCAUUGCGGCAGAGACAUUAACGGUGGCUGGCUCGGCCGAACACUUGUAGACUUGAACGACCUCGAUGGAACGCUGUCUACCUGCCGUGCUGCUGCUGUGGUAAAUCGAGAGCUCAAACAGUAAGGAAACGUACGAGCGCCCAACUGGCAGGAAAUGUAGAACUAUUACCUGAAAUGACAACAAAUGAUAAUAUUGGACAUUUCUAUCGGCUAGAUAUAGUGCAUAGUUUAUCAUAUCCCGUCCAGGCUAUUGAAAGAUCGAGUAAAACUAAAGUUAGUUAAAAUAUACGUAUGGCUAAACUUGCACAUCGGUGGACUAUUUCAUCUAAGUGCACAAUAGCGGAAGCGACAAGGCCAAACGUGCACGAAGGUUUAUUGGGCCGUGUCUAUGAUUGCCGUGUAGGGAUGGCGUGGUAUAGCACGGUAGGCUUAAAUCAGCCGUUUCCGAAUUUUUUUCAUUGAACAGUGGUAUAAGCAGUUCUAGUAUCAAAGAGAACGCGUGCGUAGAUUAGAUCGAAGGUCACUAUUAAAUAUCGACUUAUACUCAAUUGUUUACACAUAUUAGAAAUGGGAGCCGUUUACUGCUGAAGUCGCUAAAUGUUGGUGCGGUCAUGUCAGCAUGUGUUUUUGAUUUCAGUGAUAAAUGUUGCCAGUCCGGACCGACGUACUUAGCAGCCAACGUGUAUCCUUCAAAAGAGUGGCAAAGUUUGAGGAUUGGGCACUCGUUUACCGAUAUCGAAGUAGCGGUUACGAUGAAAAUGAAACGAAUCAAUAGAUUAUGAAUCUUUAUGUAGAAGGAAGUCGUGACUCUACUUGACCGCUAUUGCUAGCCCGAUUAUCUGAUCUUUUUCUACUGUUUAAUGCUGUUACCGCUUUACGUGAAAUAGUGCCCUUUCUCUACCACUUGAGCCGACUACAAUAUUUAAUUCAUUGGCGUUGGAAGUAACGAUACAAUAGCUAACAACUGGUACACUUCUACAAAUCUUCAAUACUCGUAGCGUCUCAUUGCUGUUAGCACCAUGUACAUGUAUCAU
rnacentral:lncRNA from 1 species